UUUGGUUACGACCGGCACUACACGUUUGUUAAUGUUUACAAUUAGGCCAUCCUUGAUAGCUGUUUAUGAAUAAUUAAUGUUAUCCAAACAUCUGGGCGCAAUGGGCAGCUAGGAAUAAUUGCUGUGGCAAACCGCAAAUAGACGGAAACAAAAUAUAAUAAACUUCUCUAAAUAAAUAGACAUGACUCGUUCGGUCACAGAUCGGUGAAAAACCUUUAGCAAGGACCGGCUAACAGAAGGGAUUCGAGUGGGACCACGCCAAUGUUGUUGCCAUCACCUGGCUCGUUACGUGUGAUCAGGCCAUCAGUCUGAGUGACGGGUGAUCACUCCAGAGAAUCGAACAUCCAGAAAGAGCCGCCUGUUUGCUCGAUUUUGUUCUCCGGAGAAAGUGAUGAAUCCCUGCUGCCAGGCUUCGGUGAUUACGGACUUAUCAAUAUUGAUGUCCUAUUUUCCCUUCUUUUUAAUGCAGAAUACAAUUAGGACACUUACGACGGCACAGCGUACAGGAAUAAAUAUGUAUGACGAGGGCGGAAUUACAAAGUAAAAUUACUGGGCAACGAAGAGGAAAGAAGAAAUCCGCAACAUGACAAUUUGAAGCCUUCUGCGUUUUGAUCCGCUGCUUGACGAUGCUCACGAAAAAGCGCCCGAGACCAUAAUAACUUUACUCUCAGUUGUGUCAGACCCUGGCAGCCUGCGGAGCCUUGUUUGGUGCGCGCUCUGUGUUGUCCAUCUCAUUUCGGGCUGUUAUUCAGACUAAUGACGUGGAAUCAGAACUUGUUAAUUCACUGGGUUAUGCGGCUGUGGAUGUUUAUUACUGAGGCAGUUUUUUUUUUUUUUACUGCGCAGCCUACAUUAUAUUCUUGACACUAUAUUGAAAUCUUGUUUCUUCCCUAUAUCGCCGUGUACUGACAUGCUGUUAACUUAGCAAUAUAACGUCAAUAUCGGGGUGUGUAGAGCUGGAGACUUCCCUGGCUAUUUCAGAUAUACAACAGGAAUCAAACGUGGACAGAAUGCCAUUCCACCACAGGAGCAAGAUUCACACUGAGUAGCAGCAUGGUGAAAAGGGCAUCCGUAAAUACAUGGGGAGAACAUACAAAACUCAUGCAGACUGCUGUGAGACAAGAAUGACAGUUGUCAUUGCUACUUGCAGUAGCCGGUAUAAAAGGAGCUCCAUGUGUGGCGACGGCAGCGCUGACAACCAAGCCUGGGGGCACAGACUGCGGACACAGCAUUUGCUGAGCCCUUAAGCUGACACCUGUAUCUUGCAUAACAGAUUACUAGUACAGUUUGCAUGUUUGGUAGAAAAAUGCUAACUGAGAUUGUGCUUCUGAUGCAUACCUGUUGCUGGAAAGACUGGCAUAGGGGUUGCCUCUGACCCUCGGUGAGUGAAGCAGGAGCGUGUGUUGCUGCAUGGUAAACGCGGCCAAUAAAAUAAGCUUUAUGGUUACAGAAUAUAAACAAUUUUAAGUGUGCCUUUCUCAGUUAUUAUUGCCUAGAUGUUUAUAUUAUAGAGGAAUCAAUUCACUUUUGGGCAUAUUUUACUUUUCUCAGUUACUUCAGGUUCACAUU